rnacentral:lncRNA from 10 species
CAGGAACAGAAAUUCAUUUCAAAGUGCAGCCAGUGCCAACAGGGGAGAGUGGGCAGAGAAAUCAAAUGAAAAUGCCAAAACGCUGACUACACGGCCAGUUUGCAUCAUGUGAACCACUUUGGAGCCUGAGGACAGAAACCAAAAAUAUGCUUCUGUUCAGAGGCGGCUAACAGCACUAGUGUUAUUAUUGUUAUCAUCAUCAUCACCACCAUCAUUCGUCCAUAAAUUUAAAACUAGCUGAUGUGUGAUGAGCUGCCGUGUAUCAAGGAACUGAUGUCUUCAGCCAACAAGCAGCUAGAAUCUGAGGGGUUGAAACAGCCACAUGAGUGAGCUUGGAAGUUGGAACUUAUUGCCUGAGUCAAGCCUUGAGAUGACUACAGCCUUGGCAGACAUCAAGUGCCUGAGCCAGAGGACCCAGCUAAGCCACUCUCAGAUUUCUGACCUACAGAAUUCGUGUGAUAAUAUUAAUACAUGUUUAUUGUUUUAAGUUGCUGAAUUUGGGGGUGGGUUGUCACACAGUCAUAGAAAACUGAUACAGUUGGAAAUAAUUUUGAAAGGUGAAAGGCAUAGUAUGAAAUCUGAUUCUGUGGUAUGGAGGGGUUUCAAAGACUGGCAGAACAAUUUGGACAUGGUACAGAAGCCAUUGAAAGCUCUUUCUCUCAUAGCUUUAUGGAGAUAUAAUUCACAUACAAUAUAAUUGUCAUUUAAAAUGUACAACUCACUAGUUUUUAGUAAGUUAGCAGAGUUGUGAAAUCAUCACCACAAGCUAUUUUCAUACACUUUGAUCUGCCCCCAAACAAAGCCCAUACCAAUUAGCAGUCAUACCCCAUUUUGUCCCAAGCCCUAGACAACUUCUCUACUUUUUGUGUCCAACAAAUUUUCCUAUUCUGGACAUUUCAGGCAGAGUAAUAAAAUACAUGGCUUUUUGUGUCUGCUUCUUUUACUUAGCAUAAUACUUUAAGGUUUAUUGGUGUUGUAGCAUGUGUCAGUAUAUUUGUUGCUUUUUAUCGCCAAAUAAUAUCCCAUUUUACUAAGAGACCACACUUUGUUUAUUCGUUGGUCACUUCAUGGAUGUUUGUGUUGUUUCCAAAUUUUGGCUAUUAGAAAUUAUGCUGC